rnacentral:rRNA from 1 species
GAACGCUGGCGGCGUGCCUAAUACAUGCAAGUCGAGCGAACAGACGAGGAGCUUGCUCCUCUGACGUUAGCGGCGGACGGGUGAGUAACACGUGGAUAACCUACCUAUAAGACUGGGAUAACUUCGGGAAACCGGAGCUAAUACCGGAUAAUAUAUUGAACCGCAUGGUUCAAUAGUGAAAGACGGUUUUGCUGUCACUUAUAGAUGGAUCCGCGCCGCAUUAGCUAGUUGGUAAGGUAACGGCUUACCAAGGCGACGAUGCGUAGCCGACCUGAGAGGGUGAUCGGCCACACUGGAACUGGGACACGGUCCAGACUCCUACGGGAGGCAGCAGUAGGGAAUCUUCCGCAAUGGGCGAAAGCCUGACGGAGCAACGCCGCGUGAGUGAUGAAGGUCUUCGGAUCGUAAAACUCUGUUAUUAGGGAAGAACAAAUGUGUAAGUAACUAUGCACGUCUUGACGGUACCUAAUCAGAAAGCCACGGCUAACUACGUG